CAGUCGCCGCGGUAAUACAGAGGGUGCGAGCGUUAAUCGGAUUUACUGGGCGUAAAGCGUGCGUAGGCGGCUUUUUAAGUCGGAUGUGAAAUCCCUGAGCUUAACUUAGGAAUUGCAUUCGAUACUGGGAAGCUAGAGUAUGGGAGAGGAUGGUAGAAUUCCAGGUGUAGCGGUGAAAUGCGUAGAGAUCUGGAGGAAUACCGAUGGCGAAGGCAGCCAUCUGGCCUAAUACUGACGCUGAGGUACGAAAGCAUGGGGAGCAAACAGGAUUAGAUACCCAGUAGUCCCUGUCUCUUAUACA
rnacentral:rRNA from 1 species